UCUUGUAUGUUUCUUUGAUUUUUCUUUUUCUCUUGUAUGUUUCUCUAAUUUUCUUUUUUUCUUGUGUGUUGCUCUAAUUUUCUUUUUCUGUUAUCAGUUUCUUCUACCAUGUUUCUCCUACUGUGUUCUUGUAAAAUUGCUUCUACCAUGUUCUUAUCAGUUUCUUCUACUAUGUUUCUCCUAUUAUGUUCUUGUUAAGUUUCUUAUAUCAUGUUCUUAUCAGUUGCUUCUACUGUGUUCUUUGUGUGUUUCGUCUACCAUGUUUCUCCUACUAUGUACUUGAUAAGUUUCUUUUACCUUGUUCUUAUUUGUUUCUUCUACUAGUUCUUUUAUUGGUUUCGUAUGUUGUUCUUUUACUAUGAUUAUCAUGAGUUCCUGCUACUAAAAGAGCAUGUUACAGGUCUCAGUUCCUUUCUGAGACCUCUGAACCUGUCUCGAUUAAUAUCAUUUUCCUUGAUUACUUGUCUUCUCCUCUCUACACUCGAUUGAUGGUAAAAAACCCUACAAUUUGGUUUCACUUGUUGCUCAACUGAGUCUUGAAAUCUUUUGUUUCAACCUUUGUUUCUUUAGGCAAUUCUGAUUCUCUACUAAACUCUUCUAAGGUCUUUGUACUGGACCUUCGUAUGCUAUUUGGUACUACCUCUCUUCUACAGAUUUUGCAAUAACAUGAUGUUUUUCUUUGCCCUAAAUUCAGCCUAGCAUAUUUGUGUGUUCUUUAUAUGUGUUGAACUUUCCUCUAAAAAUGGCUUUCAAUUUUGAUUUUCAGACUUCCUUUGUGUAAGUUCGAUUGAUUUCUUUCCUUGUUUGCUGACUUCCCUAUUACUUGACUUUCCUUAUCUUUUCUGACUUGGUUCAUUCAUGGACUAGUGAUUACAAAAUCUUUGACCCCUUGAUUUACUGUAUACUAAUUGAUUCUUACGUUAUUUGUUUUAACCGCGUGUUUCAAAUUUCUUCCCUUAACUAAACCCCUUAUGUAUUUACCCCUGGUUGCCCACAAGAUGUUUAUUCGAUUUCUUUCCUUAAAUAGUUUUACCAUUUGAGUCUGAAUUCCCCGAUUAAAGGAAGUCUUGUAUUGAUUGAUUUCUUAAUUGAUUUCUAGUUCCUUAAUUGUGUUCUUACCUUAUUUCUGCCUGUUUUUCACACUAUAAAUGCACGACUCUUUCAUUAACAAAACAUCAUCCAUCACUUGUAGUUUUUCUAAACUUACACUCACACUCGAAAAUAUCCUCUCUUGUUACUUGUAUUGUGGCCUGUUAACAAGACUUUCUGCCUAUUUUUCUCCAUUUUACUUCUUUGAAAUUGGUAUGUCCUGAUAUAAGGUUCAACAUCACAAUAAUGUAUUUAUUUCCUGCUUUUUCCCUGUCUGCCUACUGUUUCUGUAUAGUUCAACACUACUAAUUUCUUUUCUACCUGUUCUAUUAUGAAUCCCUAUUUCCAUACCCCCAUGUGUGUUUAAGUUAUGGUUCGUAGCAUGGAAAUAUGUAAGUUAUUUCCCAUGAACUAAGCUUGAUCCCUUGGGAUCCUAGCCUCUAAUAAUGCAUGUUCUAGUAGGCUUAUGGUAUGCUAACAUCCUCUAUUGCUAGGCAUGCCUAAAGUCUGCUCUUGCCUAAGCAAUAGGCUCUUUACAAUCUCUAUAUUCCCCUGAACCCCCUAUAUGUACUUAUUUGUAGUUGUUUCCCUCCCCUUUCCCCCCUUUCAGAAUUCUAUUUCUACACUUGCACUCUCUCUUAGUCCUUAAGUUCUGCCCCCUUCUUGUGAGCGUUACCUUGGGACCUUGAGUUCCCUUUGAACUUGGACACUUGAGGGUUGGCCCUUCCACACUGCACUUUUCCUAAUAUGAUAAUACAUUUGGGUGUGAGCACUGCCCAAAGUUUCUUUGAGGCUCUUAGGGAACUUUGACAAACUCAAAUGGGAGAAAGGCUUUGGAUCAUGAUUUCAUGGAGUUGGUUUACCUCAUAUUUCAGGCAUAAAGUCUGAAUCAGGCUCUCCUUUGGUUGUACUUUUAUUUUCUGAUGUAUUUUUACUUUCUUCUGGGUUGUAAUAAUUUGUAAUAAACUCUUGGGGAUGAUUAGUGAAAAGGGUGGGUGACUAUGUAUACAAAUGGGUAGAUAUCGUGUCUAUAGGAACUUUGAAUAUGCAGAUAGAUACCAUGUCUAUAGGAACUUUGAAUAUCCAUAUAGAUAUCAUGCCUAUAGGUGUUUGGAUUUAUGUAUAUCCUAUGCUCAUAUUGAAAUCAUGAUCAUAGGGUUACUAUAUUCAUAUAGAAAUCAUGCCUACAGGAUUGUCUAACCAUGUACGAUCAAUUGCACUUAGAUAUCAUAUCCAUAGGUCUUAAACAAAUUUCUG
rnacentral:lncRNA from 1 species